rnacentral:tRNA from 1 species
AGAAAGAUGCCUGAUUAAAGGAGUAUUCUGAUAGAAUAAAUCAAGAAAUAAAUUUUUCUCUUUCUA